rnacentral:lncRNA from 1 species
AACAUCACAACACCAACGACGAACGAUUCAGUACAAAACUGACUCGUGACCCGCAAUCCACGACCCAAAAUCGUCAACCAACUCUGAUAUCAGCGAAAACCUGACCCGACCUUGUACACGCACGUCUCACGCGAUAGUAUGACGAGGAAAGGUUCGAGAAUCUUCUAGAAAAAUGCCUAGGUGUCUCAUCCAAUGUUCGAAUCUCGAGAUUUUUGGGUUAAUUGGUACUAAUUCGUACACACUCGCUCAAUUUCUAUUGGUUGAUAAAGGGAAUUUCAUCCCUCAAUUCUAUUGGUUGGCCAAUUUUGAAUUUCAUCAAGAAAAUUCCAAAAUUCGUACAAGUUGUUGGUGGAAAACCCUAUAUUCAGCUCCAAUUCGAAUUUCCCCUACCAAAAAUUCCGAGUUUACCCCCGUUGUCCUCUUUCCCACAUCGUUCAAAGCCUAAGAAGGAACCUUCAAUUCUCUCCUAUAAAAGGAGCUCGUUGUCGAGCCGUGAAGGGGGUUGGAAAUUUCUUUUGGGGGGAAACAAAAACAAGAGAAAAAGUCUCAAAUAAGGGAAGGGGGGAAAACCUGAGAGGUUCGAAAAAGCUUUUGGAAAAAAUAGUUUUUGUAGUAUAAGUUCUUUUGUUUAAGAAAGGUCAACGAUUGUUCGGAUUUUUUGGAGUCACGGCAAGGUCCUCCGGUGGUAAUCGAGAUUUCGUCAAAAGUUCGAGUCCUGUUUUGCUGGCCCGAGAGAGGUAAAUAUACCUUUUCCCAUUUGAUUUUAUCAGCAUAUUUCUUCUUCGUCCCUUUUCUCUAUAGCAAUGGUUGGUUGUUUGGUUAUAAUUGUGGUGAUGCUGUGAUUAUUCGCUGUAGAGGCUCCAAAUGCCAUAAGUUUGAAUGAUGAAAGUAAGGUCUAUUGUAUGGUUAUGAUAAUUUUUCUUAAGUGUCUAAUUCUUUGUUCAUGGUUUCAUCUCUGUUUGUUUGGCUUUUUUCAUUAAAAUCUGCGACCUCGUGCUGGUUUGACGUUGUCUGAUUUUUGUUCACAAGCCUAAAGAUGGAGUUUUUGUAAGGGCAUAAUCAAGAAAAUAGCAUCCUGUUCUUUGUUCUCAUGUUCAAUAAUGCAGGAAGUUUUUCCUUAUAUAUGAAUGAUAUUAAUAUCUGUUCUUAGCUAUGCUUUGUUUUGCUUUGGUCUGUGUGUGAAUUUCUUUUGUCAAGUAGGAAUUUGUCCUUGUUUUCUAUUCGUUAUCGUGAAUAAGAAACCCCCCACCCCACCCCGUCUGUGAAUAGCUAAAAUAAAACGGGAUGAAGAUGUAUUCAUGUGAUAUUUGUUUGGGUUCCCUUUCUGAUUUUGCUAUCGAUAAUUUGAUUUUGAUUGGAGACCAUGUUCUUGGAUAGCUUAUGUUAAGUCCAGGAUCGACAGUUUGUUUUCUUUAUCAUCUCCUUCUGGUUUUCUCCUUUCGUCCAAUUGUUGUCCUUUGCUUUCAGUAAUAAUCUUUGAUCAUUUGCUUAAAAAUAUUAAAACCUGCUUUUGAUAUAGUAUAACUCACUGAAAUUUGCCCACUCUCUUAGAAACUGUAUGCGAGAACUAUGUUGGUUGGUCUCUCUUUUGGGGUUUGGGUUUAUUUUUGUCAUUAAGUACUAAUUUAAGGAUAUGGAGAUGACUACAUUAUUUCUCCUUGCCUAUAUUGUCGUUGUUCUGCGCAAUUAUGGUAUACUGAUGUCGGCUGGCUUGAUCACCUUUAGUUUGUGUGGGGUUUAACUCGUCAAAGAGCAUAAUGUUUGUUUCUUUGUUUUCUUUUUCUACUUGUGAAUUGAUCUAAAAGGAAUUUAUUCUCCUCUCUAUCCCGAAUACUAGCAUGUGCCUCGUUUAUAGAUCUGUUUCGUCUCUUUGAUUUUGCAUACAUUCAGUCCAUAAAAUGUUGUUGGAUUCAUAACAUCCAAAGAACUAGUGAACUAGACAAUGCCUAGGAAUGGUUUAAUUUAGGAUUCCUUAAUGAUCUCUUGACUUUUGGUUCAAUAUAAUCUCUCGAGGAGAGGAGGAAGCUAGUGCAAAGCUAUUGUCGUUUGUCUUAAGUGUUAUAAAUCUGAAAGUUUUUACCUUUACUGUAUGUCGAUGCUUUAUUAAAAGUAUUACUAGAUUGUUGUGCUUAUGUCUUUUCUUGGUAAUGCUAUAGUUUUGAAUUCACAGAUUUUUUAGUAUGCACUUGGCCUUAGUUCCUUUUAGAGCAGACUGUGUCCUUAUGAUAUGGUUUGGAUUAAUUUCUUUUACCUUAAUCAACAAUGCUUGGGUGUCCAAAUAAAGGGUGACUUUGUUUGGAUCUUUUAUUUAGCUCGAUAGAAUAUAUUUGGAACACUAACAACUUGUUUGGAUGGUGGUUUGACAUGGUUUCAUAAUGUAUGGUAUGGUGUAGUAUGGUGUGGUAUAGUAUGGUAUGGUACAGUACCAGGUUUGGAUGGAAUGUAUCGUUCACUGCGGUUUAAUAAUAGAUUUUUUGUUUGGUUUGAUGGUAUGGUACGGUAUGGUAACAGGUAAAUUUACUAAAAUGCCUCUAAUUGUAAUACAUUUGAGAUAUCAACUCUUUUAUCCAUAUCAGUGCUAGUGCUAGCGUACCAGUUGUCCUUUCUUUCUUAAUGCUUCUCAUAGCUACCCUAUGAUCCUUUUAAGACGCCAAAUUCACAAGGGUAUUUGCUAAACAAAGGUUUGACAAACGCAAACUAAUGCAAUCGGGAAGUACUUCCCAAUCAAUAAAACAAUUGGUAUACAUGCAUGUAUCUUAGAGUUCGAAAAUCACUUCCCAUGUAUAUGCUUUUUGUGCAUUCACUCUGUUUUCCUCCAUUUCAAUUUUCAAUUUUUUUUUGAUCGAAUUGAGUUUUUAUUGGCAUUAAAAACUACUACUACUAAAUAACUAUGAUCAUGAAGUCUUGCAAUCUUCGAUCUUGUUAACAAAUGCGUAGUCUUAUCAUGUAUUUUGUUGAUAAGGAUAAAAUAGGAUUAAAGAAAAUUAUACAAGGGUAUAGUUGGAAAAGAAAAAUGAAAAUCAUGGCACACCACCAAUUUGGUGGUUCAAUAACAGCCUAUUUGGAUGGUGAUUUGCCAUGGUAUGGUAUGGUUACCAUGGGAACCUUGUUUGUUUCCAUGGUCUUCUAAAAAUGGUGGUAUGGUAUGUUACUAUUUCAUGGUUUGAUAACCAUGGCAAGAGGCAAUUUCUUGAACCACCAAUUUAGUGGUGUGGCAUGGUUCUCCUUUUUUUUUUUUUCCAACUUUGCCCUUAUAUAAUUUUAUUAAACUUAUAACCCAUUAUACCCUUUUACUCUUCUUAACCUUAUAUACUCUCUUCUUUAACUUAACUCUCUUCUUGACUACAACAUUCAACUUCGGCACCACCCUAGCAUUUAACAUAGUAGUAUCCUAGAAGAAAUAAGAGACACUGCUACCCCAUUGACGCCUUUUAGGGUUUUUCCAUUUCCGGGUAGAAUAGAUAUAGGUAUAGGUAUUUUGCGAGGCCGACAACGACGAGGACGGUGGGAAGUGGAAGAAGGAGGUGGGUCGAUGAGUUCAACGUAGCUGACAGAGAAAACGGCGUCAUCAAUACCCUCAUUGAAAACAAGUAGGGGUAUUUUAGUAAAAUUACCCAUUAACAUACAAUACCAUACCAUCAAUCCAAGCAAAAAAACUAUUAUUAAACCAUAGUGAACGAUACAAUCCAUCCAAAUAUGGUACAAACCAUAUCAACCUUUUUUCUUCGUAUAAAUAACAUAAAUAUUAACCUUUAAAAAGUAAUUACUCUCUCCCACUUUUUUAAUUACUUUACUCUCUCUCCCUAUUAAUAUACAUAACAUAGUCAACAUAUACAUAACAUUUUGUGUAUAUGUGAGAUUUUUGUAAGAUGUUUAGGGAGUUGAGAUUUUUUGUAAUAUUGAAAACGUAAGUUGUGUAUUUGUGUAAUUUUUAGUUUUUCUUUUGCAUGAAUCCCUCAUGGUUGAGUCCAACAGGCUCAAUUUCUCCUUGCAUUUUCCUCAUAGGCCAUUGAGGCCCACUACCUCUAUUGAGUCAACUCCUAGAGAAAGUUCAAAAGUCGAUCAUGUGGUGUACAAUUAUGAGAAGUCAAAAGAAGAAAAAUGGGUUAAUGUCUCAUAUUUAAAAAGGCAAAGAGACUCGAGUCUCAUUUUUCUUUAUUUAUUUAUUGUUGUCUUAUUUAUUUCUUUAUUUAUUCAUUUGGGCCUCGAAGCCAAAGUUGUAAGCUAAUACAGGUGAAGCGAAACUUGAGCCAAAGGCUUGAAAAAAUAGUUUAAGACACGUUAUGGGCCGAAAGCCAAAUGCUUAGAUUAGGAUCGGUACAAGUGAGUCAAAAGCUCAAUUAGAAUAGGACAGGGUUUGUUGAUUUGGGCUCAAUGGUCUAAGUCUUUUACUUUCUCCCCUUCCCUUUUUUAUGUGCUAUUUGCUAUUUUAUUCACUUAGACUUAGUUGAAAUUUCCGCUAAGUCGCUAAAAAUGAUUUUGCAAAAGCUUUUAAAAAAAUUCCUUAAUCAACUUUUUUUCAACAAUCGACCCUUUUUUAGAAUUAGUCAAAAGGAAAACUAUUUUUUCAAAUAGUCUGGAUAAUCGCAAGUUAACAGACAUUUUAGGUGCUUUAAAAAAUCUCCCUAAAAUAUUAAUAGGAACUGCUUAUCUAGAAUUUCAACUUAAAUGAUUUUCUUGUUUUGAAUCAUCUAAGUAUUUUAUAAAGAUUUUUUUAAUUUCUUUUCAAAUAAAUUAAGUGGCGACUUUAAAAGUUAAAAUUUUUGCAAAACAAUUAUUAUAGAUGUUUUUUGCAAUAUGCAUCACAUCAAUGUUAGAAUUCUAGUAUGGUAAAUCUCAAAAUAUGCUUCGCUUUUUCCACCCAAAUGUCUUACAUAUUGUUUUAUUAACUUGUUCUGCAUCUAAUUUUGUUACAUUUCAUAUCCCCAAAUUAUAAAUUUGAUUCAAAAUUUUCUCUCCUGUUCCAUAUGUUGAUGGGGUCUUUUGACAGUUUGACCUUUAAGAAAGUUCUUUCGAUCUCUCCUAAAUGAGUGAUAUUGGUCAAGGAGCAUUUUGUGGCAAUCAAACCAUGAUUGUUUUCUUCCAUGCUGUAAUCUAAGGGAUUGUGUUUCCUUUAUACAAUAAGGGCAUGCUAAUUUACCCGCAAUACUCCAUUCUGAUAACAUAGAAUAUGCUGGAAAGUCACUAAUUGUCCAUGCCAAAGUUGCCAUUAAUUGAAAGUUUUGCCUUUUUGAGAUGUCAAAUACUUCUACACCUGUCUCUCACAAUAAGGUCAGUUCCUUUAUUAGAGGAUGCAAAUAAACAUCAAUUUUAUGUUUGGGAUUGCUCGGACCGGGAACAAUGAUUGUUAAGAAUAUAUAAGCCUUUUUCAUGCACAUUCUUAGAGGGAAAUUGUAUGGAGUGACAUUCACUGCCCACGAAGAAUAUUUCCUUCCAGACUGACUGAAUGGUUGAAAACCAUUCGUACAUAACUCCAACCUAACAUUUAUUGGUUCAGCGGCAAAAAAGUGAUUAGUUUCAUUGAAGUACUUCCAAGCCUCAGAAUCUGAUGGAUGACGCAUCACACCAUCCUCUUUUUUAUGAUCAUGAUGCUAUCUCAUGUCGGUAGCUGUAGCAUGGGAUGCAUAUAAUCUUUGCGAUCUCGGAAUCAAAGAAAAAUAAUACAUUUUCUUGUAAGGAACCAAUUUCCUCUUAGGAGAGCUAACACAACGCUUAUACAUUGGCUUGCUACAAAAUUUACAAGAUGUAAGGUGUUCAUCAUCAUCACCCCAAUACAACAUACAUCCUGAUUCAUAGCAAUUAAUAUUUUCAACUGGCAAACUCAAAACUACACACUAGCUUCUUCGCCUGAUUAUAGCUAUCAAGCACUAUGUUAUCUUUAGGUAGAGCCUCUUUAAGCAAUUGCAUCAUUUGGUUAUAGGCUCUCUGCGAAAUAUUAUUCUCCAUUUUAAUAUUUUACAUUCGAGAGACAACUGCAAGUUGAGAGAGGGAUGAAAUGGGAUAUAAUUUUGCAUUAGCAAAUCAUAAAAUUUUUUAGAUAGGAUUAGGAUCUUCCGACAUUGAAUGUUCAAAAGGAUGAGAUGACUUAGGUUCAAUAUUGUUAUAAGAUUGCCAACUUGAACCCUGACAAAAUUUGGGACCAUCUGCAUGCAAAACAUUUGUCGGUAUGGAUUUUCUCCGAAUAUAGGUUGACCAUCACCAUGCAAGUCAUUACCAUAAGAAGUCCCACUUAUAAAGGUGACAUUUAACAGUUUCAACAUCCACGAAUUUAUAGUUCUGACAUUUUGUACAUGGACAUCUAACUUUGUCACCACUUAUGCGAUUUUGUUGAGAAUAUGCGAAUUGAAUAAAUUCAUUCACAGCAGUUACAAAACUAGAGUAUAAAGCCCCUCGACCAUCUAACCUCUCAUACAUUCAAUCACGCUCUAGAUUAUUUAUGUUCCUAUUAAUGUUGAAAUAAAAAAUAGGAUAAUCAGUGUAGAACUGUGCUCUUCAAUCAAAAGUUCACAACAAAGCAAAAGUCAUCAAUCAAUAUUAAUGUAAGAAGGAAUUAAGUUACAAUUCUGAUGCGAGACAAUAAAUCAAUAUCAAGGUAAUCAACUACUAAAAUAAAGUACAAUUAAACACAUUCUCUAGCCAAUCAAAUUAUCAAAAAACUGCGAAAAAAGCAAAUGGAUAAAAUAAAUUAUCAAAAAAAAUAGUCGGAGAAUAACAAUUGAAAUAACAAUAGAAAUUUCUAGGAACUGAACUUUGUUCAUACAAAAUGCAACAAGAAAUUACAAUAUCCAGAGCUUUACAGAAAACAAAACACAGCAACAUCAGAAGUACUCACUGAAUCAUAUAAAAUUUCAAAAGUUGUAAUAUUGGAUUUCCACAAAAUCCAACUUAAAUAAGAACCAAUAAUACUACUUUAACAUAGCUAAAUCCCCUACUAGAACCACCAUACUAAUUAUCGAGAAUAUUUUACCUGAUAGGUCAAAUUAUUGAACUUCAAAAUUCCAGUCAGCUCUAGGACACACCUUUCCCAUACUUUUUCACUUAUCCUUCACUUUUUCAACACUUCAAUUUCUGCGAUAUUAACCGAAAAAAAUCAUAACUUUGAUGAAAAAAUAUACAGAUUUAGUACCAAAUGCUUGCAUGUGUUACCGAAAAAUCUGCAUUUAGCUAACAUUAGAAUAAUUGAUAGCUUUCACAUUCACCAGUUCAAUUAACAGAUCAAAGAGCGAGUGUAGGAAACAUUGGGCCGACAUUUAAAAAACUAAGACAAAAAGGUGAUGUCUUUAAGGAUUUUUCAAGUACAAAUACAACAACAAAACCAAACUGGAACCAAACUAGACUUCUUUGAACAUAAUUUAGAGUAAAAAUUAUAGAAAGAAAGAAAAUACAAAUUAAAUCUCUACCUGAUUACAUCUGGGCAUAGAAAUUUUAGAGAGAGGAAAUUAGAGAGUGAGAGGCGGCAUAGAGAGAGAAAAUGAGUGAAGAAAUGAGCCCCAAUCUAUUUUUGAGAAAUAUUUAUAAUUUAUAAAUAGUUGCGACGAAAAAUUUCGUCUCUAAUAAUAAAUAAAAUUUGUAAAAAAAUAUUAUAAAUGAUAUUGAUGCUUAAAUCUGUUGCUAAUCCGUUGCUACAAAUUAAUUAAAAUGAUUACACAUAAUUGGUUGCUAAAUUCGUCACGAAAUUAAGGCGUUAAAUUUUUGCGCCGAAAAAAAAUUAUCUCGUAUCCGUUGCUAGAUCAUAAAUUAAAAAGAGACUUGCUAUGCUUGCGAUAAAAUUGAUGUUUUCAUCGUUAAUCCGUCGCUAAACUGCGAAGAAAAUUGACCUGUCUUUAAAUUUUAUCACUAAAUAUUAUUUUUUUAGUGUAAACUAGGGCUUUGAAAUUUGAAUUUUGGGAAAAAAAAAAUCUCUAUCUUAACUUUCUUGAGGUUUGAGAGGAGGGGAACGAGGGAUUUGAGAGGUACUCUGCAUAUUUGGGAUAUUUCUAGGAUAUCAAACAAAUUUGGGGAGGUUAAAGGACAAGAAUAUCCCUCUUGAAAUGUAAAAAGAAGAGAAAACUUUUAAAAAAUCGGAGAAAUCGUGCGCGGCCGCACAAUUGGAGCUCAGGUCGCACGACUGUUCGCAUAGCAUUGGCGGAGCCAGUGCCUUACCCGCGUGAUUGUGUGGCUGACGUCCUCUUCGCACGACGGAUUGCAUAGGCUGCAUAGUGCCUGGUAAAGGGGACAUAACUUUUAACAAAUAACUUGAAAUGACAAACAAUUAGUGGCGUUGGAAAGAAAUUCGAAGCCCUUUAAUUUGGUAGAUCUUGAGAUAAAAAAAUUUUCAUACUCUAUGAGUUAUGCUUGUUUGAAACUGGCUUUAGUAAAAUCUUAUACGAAAAUUCAAUCGUAAAGAAGCUUUUAAUUUAACUUUGUGCUAAAGGUUCCUUAUAGCCUUAAUUCAUAGACAAAGCUCUUCCCACACUAAGCAAUUGGUAUUUACGCCUAUUUACAAUUAAAAAUCAUCAAAUUCGUAUCUAUACGCAUUUGAAUGACGAUUCGUACUCGCUUUAGAAGUUCGAUGUUACAUGCUUUUAGAAUAAUAUUUUUUCUGUACCGAACAUAUUGAAAAACAUUUUCUUGAAAACAUUUUCUUUAAGAAGUUAGGAUUACUAAAAUCAAAUAAACUAAAUACAAUAUACAUUUGUCUGGCUUUUUCUGUUUUCUCAUUUGUAAUUUAUAUCACAAACUUAAAUUUAAUGCAUAAAUUAUUUUAGUGAAGUGAUUAUACUAGCUACACCUUAAUUGGCCAAACCUAAAUUACCAGUGCUAUUCACAACUCACAAGUUACAUGAGUUAUUUGUCAUUUCCUUCAAGAAAUUGUCUAAUAAUUUCAACUAGAUUUCAAAGCUGCUAUCUAGUGUAGGGUUGCUAAUUAAUUCAAGAAAUUGAGGUGUUACUGAUUUUGAAUUUACAAUUGGAUUUCUUUAAUUUGUGAGAAAAUAUCAUUUAUUUUUACAGUAUUAGAUUUUUGUAAUUAAGUAUUAACUAUUAUUAAUCACCAAGUGAAAUAUUUAUAAAGCAAAAUUGACUCACACAAUCUACUCAAUUUAAAUAGCUAUCUCUGCUAUACCAAGUAUACUUCUUUUCCUUUUUUGGAUUUUUUAUCGUUCAAUGUUCGACAAUCAUAUUGAGCCUGUCUAAAUUCGGAUUCGUGCCUAGAAGUCUCACAUUAGGGGUAAGACACUCCCUACCAAAGGUGACUCCAUACCAGGAGAAUUUAAACCCAAGACUUCAGAUUAAGAAUGAAGGAAUACUUACCACUCCACCACCUCAACUAAACUCUACUUCUUACUUUACUAGUAUUUAUUUAUCUAUCGGACUUCACAACUAGAAGCUAUAAAGUUGCAUAUACUAACCAGGUCAUGUUGUUAGGUUGUGAAACAUAUACCCAAUAUGAUAGUCUACUCCAUACUUGCCUCGUAUGCUAAAUACUCCAUAAAUAAGUGAUCCUUAUUAUUUGGUGUUUCUAUUGCAUGAACUGCAUAGUUAAUCCACGAGUAGAUUUCAUUCAUCGUCACUUAGCUUUGCGUUUAUUACACAAAGUCAAUUUUCUUUCAUUCAUUACACAAAAGUUAUUUCACUUUGCUCCGACCAUCACAAAAGUCACUAUGGCCAGAUUUUACAGUAAUUCCACCGGAAAAAUGAUGUGGCGACCUUAAUUAGUUCUUAAUUUAAAUUUAACAGAAUGUAAUUUAUUAUCCAUAUCUUGACCCUUUUUAUAUGUGCCUAACUCAAUUUUCCUUAUGAAUUAUAUAACAGAAGAAUAUCAAUUUCUCAAUAGAUUAGACUACCUAGUGAAGACUAUUUUUAAAAAAAAUAAAAAAAUCGGUUGAUAUUUUUAUGAAACUAAAAUUAUUAUUUUAAUUAAUAUAUAUAAGAGAGGAUAUCAAUUUUGGUAGUCCUCACAAUAGUAUUUUAGAUAUUUUACUUUUUUUUCGUUAAGUAAGAUUAUUACACAUAGCAAUUAAUGAUAUAUGUUUCUAAUAUAUUUUCAUUUUUGUCCUUAUUAUUUUGGUUAAGACAAUUCCCACUUGGACUUUUAUUAUUGGUCCCUUCUUGUCACUUAUUAAAUUAUUUUUUAGUUAAAACUCCAUUUAUCUUUAAUUGACAAUCAAUUUAGCUCAAAAAAAUCAUUCCAAAUAAUUUUAAUACAAAAUUAAAGUUUGCAUUAAUAACUAUACUCUUAUAGUUCUUAUAAAUAUUGUAUGAUUCUCAAAAAAUAUAUAAUAGAGUAACUUAAUAAAUAAUACCUUGUAUAUACUUUUCUUAGUAAACAUGAAAAAAGAUAAAACAAUGAUUGAAAUAGGAUGAGUAAGAUAUUCUUUUAGGGGGAGUGCAGAACAUAAAUACGAUAAGUAAAUUCACUGAAUGGAGUAAUCUAGUAAUGUAGUUUAAUUAUUAUUUAGUAUCCUUAUAAAUUACUAUGAAUUCAAUUUGUAUAAAACCUCUAAAUUAAAGUUAUAAUAUGUAAUAUAAACUUGAAUUGACUGGAGAAAAUUGAAGGAAAGGUGUCUUUUACGUCUUGAAUGAAGGAUUGGUGACAUUGAUCAACUUAAAGGGUCAAACAUCAUUAGGAAACUUGAUUAAGUUAAUUAUGGACUUGAUUAAUAUUUUUAAAACUUUCUAAUCUUUUUAAAAAUACAAAUCAACCCACACCCCUCUUCAAUCUAAAUCACCCAGUCUCUCUCCCCCCCCCCUCUCUCUCGACAACUUCUCUCAACUCUCUCCCAACCAACAGUUCUGCAAAAUUCUCCCUUCAAUCCCCGGCGACUUCAACUACUGGCGAAAAAUAGUUGGGUGAGUUCCCUUUCAACUUUCAACCGUCAAUCGAUGUGAAGACUUCUCCGACGACAACAACUUCGAGUUCUUCGUUGUCCCGUUUUCUUUUUUAUAGGUAAAAAAUUAUGAAGAAACAAAGGAACUUGAGCCAACUACUCUUCUAGUAUAGAAUUGUGGACUAACUAAAAUCCUAAUUUCUAGCAUUUUUUCUUCUUGUUGUCGUACUGUUGAUUCAAAUUUUUGGUGAUUUUUAUUCACAGUUGAUGUUCUUAGUAUGUGUGUGUGAUGUGUUGGUAUUGCUGGGUUGAUUUGUUAUUUGUCUUCGUAAAAAUGGUGGUGCAACAGAUGAAACAUAUGAUGCAACAGAUGAAAAUAUUUGAUGUAACAGAUAAAAACAUCUGAUGCAACAGAUUAAAAUCUGAUGCAAAUAUGAAAAUCCGAUACAACAGAUGAAUAAUAUAACAGAUCAUUCAUCUGUUGCGAUAGACGACUCUUCCGUUUGGAAGAAAUCUAAGCAAUAUUGAUCCAACAGAUAACUCAUUUUUCAACAUAUGCGUGAUAUGUUUCAAUAGUUUAGUGAUUUGUUUUUAUUAUCUCCAACGGUUUACUCAUCUGUUGUAACAAGUCAGUUAUAUGUUGUAACAGAUAACAUACCUGGUGCAACAGAUCAAUAAUUUAUUUUUAUUGUUUCCAACGAAUUACUCAUCCGUUGCAACAAGUCAGUUCUACGUUGCAACAGAUAACAUACUUGGUGCAACAGAUUAGUGAUCUAUUUUUAUGGUUUUCAAUGGAUUACUCAUCCGUUGCAAUAGGUUAGUUAUAUGUUGCAAUAGAUAAAUUACCUGGUGCAAUAGAUUAGUGAUCUGUUUUAUGGUUUUCAACGGUUUACUCAUCUGUUGCAAUAGUUGGUUAUAUAUUGCAUCAGAUAACAUACAUGGGUGUAACAGAUUAGUGAUCUGUUUUUUAUGUUUUCCAAUGGUUUACUCAUCCGUUGCAAUGGGUCGGUUAUAUGUUGCAUCAGAUAAAAUAUCUAGUGCAAUAGAUUAGUGAUCUAUUUUUAUUGUUUCCAACGAUUUACUCAUUCGUUGCAUCCGAGUCGGUUAUAUGUUUCAUCAGAUAAAAUACCUGGUAUAACAGAUUAGUGAUUUGUUUUUAUAGUUUCCAAAGGUUUACUCAUCUAUUGCAGUGGGUCGGUUAUAUGUUGCAUCAGAUAAAAUAUCUGGUGCAAUAGAUUAGUGAUCUAUUUUUAUUGUUUUCAAUAGUUUACUCAUCCGUUGCAACAGGCCGGUUCUAUGUUGCAACAAAUAACAUAACUGGUGCAACAGAUGUCUGGUCUUUUGGAACUGUUAUUUUACCAUUAUGUAUGUUAGAUUUAUUGUUUUCCCUUUUUAACGAUACAUUAAUCAAUUAUAAUAUAUUUAUGUUCCUAUUAAUUUAAGAUAAUAUGGCUCCCAAAAGAAAAGAAACCGCAUCAAGUCCAAGUAAAGGAACAAGUGCACCAGCUCAGCUAUAUCCACCACUCUAUGAGCUUGCUUUACAAGCGUUAUCUCAAUCAGGAGCAGAAGAUAAUGAACACGGGGAGGAGAAAUGUCUCAAAAGAGAUGAUCCAAAUGCUAAUAGCCCUUUCGCUGAAGAGUUGGUCAAACCUUCAACAUUGAUUUUUAUCUUGUGAAAAUGCAGUCGAUGGUGCCACAGAUUUAACGGGUGAUUUCGUGGUUAAGUCAGUCAUGGGAAAAUCUUUCGACGCCUUCAGAAAAAUACUUUGAGAACAAAAAUUGGAUGCUAAUUUUAGGAAAAACUGCUUUGGGAAAUAUCUUGAUUUGCUGGAGGACAACAAUGCUCAUUUUCAGAUGAAAAUGGUAUACGAUCUUCUCAAGCAUAGGUUUAUGUAUGAAAACAAAGACAAGAUGGAUGAGGUGUGGAUUCUUCUUUAUAAAGUAGAUUGGAAGGCUAGGUUAGCAAACGUAAACUUACAUUGUCCUCGUACCAAUCACACAUAUUUGCCAUAUUCGUGAAGUCUUUGGAGGCAAAUAAAUGGAUGGUGUAUUCUUUUCGAACCUUUGUCUUGGCAUUUAUGAUUUCUUCCAGUUCUUUCUUCUUCUGCUUGCCAAGCUUCGCGAAUAUGUCCACCUUCUUCAGUGGCUCCUGAACUUCAACAACUCUUGGAGCGGAAGGAGUUGCAAUUUUUACUGAUUUCAGAACGAAUAGAAUUUGUCUAAUUUUUCUUCUCUUCCUCCUAACCACCACUGUAGGAGUGCAUGGCUUCCUCACCUCAUUGAAUGGUAUGAUAUCCCUCCUGGAUUUUAACUCCUCGGCAGCUUCAGCAAUAGCCUCUAUAUUUUCAAGGAGUUUAUCAUCUCUAUCCUUUCAUACUUUGCAUUUGCAAUGAGAACAUGAGGGUAAAGAGGGGUGGGAGGGACCGGUGUAGGGAUGAGAGGGACUUGUGCAAGAGGUGUUUCAAAAGUAUUUAUUUUUUAUUGAGCACCAACAUUCUCAUAAUCAUGACUGGCAGUAGCAGAAACAUCAGAAUGACUGUCACCAUCAUAAACAACUCCACCAGCAACACCCCCAGAAGAAGCACCCAAAUCUAUUGCAGUUUGAGGUUGGUUGUGAAGAGCUUCUACAUUAGGAUGACCUUGCCUAACUGCCCUUCUUAUGGAUAUUGCUCCAAUCAAUUCCUUCUUUAUUAAAUCUACUGUUGGGUCUUCUUUUAUAUUAAAAAGACCUAGAGUAAGAAAAAAAGUCAUCCCCAACUCAUCAACGGUAGGCACGAUCCAAGGAUGCACAACCUAAAAAAAAGGAUAGAAGGCAUUUAAAUCAUAUAAUAAUAAUAAUUUAUAGUCAGUUAGGUUACAUAGAUUUUAACACAACCAACUCAUGCAACACACGAUCUAGCUGUCGCAACAGCUGAUCUGUAUGUCGCAACAGAUUGACAAUAUGUUGCAUCAGAUUACAUAUAUGUUGCAUAAUUUGCAUUAGAUGGGUAAUCUGUUGAGUCGGGUUCAGAGAACUAGAGAAACAGAUGGUUAAUCUAUUGUGAAAUAUGGAUCAUCUGUCGCAACAGAUUACCCAUCUGUUGCACUAGUUAAGUUGACGGGUAAUCUGUUACAACAGAUGACCCAUCUGUCGCAACAGAUGGAACAUCUAUUUUAAUAUCUUUCUUUGAGAAAAAUUAUUUUAGUCGAAGAAAGAUGUACUGCAUUAUCCAGAGGGUUAAAUAGAUAAGCCUCCUGCUCCUUAAUAUUUAUUUUGCUGCCCUUUGCAGCCUCCAACCACCUAAGGAUCCUUGGAUGAGAAACCUCAUCCGGGUAAUCCUUGAACUACUUUUGGAGGGGAGGAAUGACUUCACAUGCCCAAGCCUAAAAAAUGUAAACAGAAAGCAAGCAAAAUAAAAAGUCAUAAUAAGUAUAUUCAUCAUAAAUUAAUGAAUAAGUAAAAAUAGUGAUCAAUUUUACCAUGAAAGGCCAAGGAAAGCUGUAUAAUGUGAUUGUCCCUGUGGAUAGCUUUGUCAGUAAAUAUUGGAAAGUCAAGUAGUAGCUGUCAUAUCCCUAGGGAUAGUCAUUAAAUUUGUGAAAGUCAUCAACAAGUGCCAAAAAUUCAUCUUCUAUGACUUUCCUAACGUCUCUUGCCAAUAAAAUAAAAUGGACAAACCAAACUAAGCACAAUUUCUCCCUGCAUUGCUUUGGUAUGUCUUUAUCCUCGAGAUCUGCCAUCAAAUCCUCCGCUUUGUAUCUGCUACGUCCAACGAUGCCCAACAACCCAUCUUUUUUUCCCUUGUAUUUGUUGGACCCUUUGUGGGGUGUUUCCUUAAUAAGAGGUUCUUCUGGACGAUCGCAUUUCAAGCCCGUCACUAUGGCAAACUCUUUCAACCCAAAACAAACCGGCAUGCCACAGUAGUUGAUCCAGAUUUUAUCCAUCUUUUUUCGGCCUCCUUUGGAUCUUUAUCAUCCCCCGCAUACUUAAUUCUGCUGUUGAGAAGGUCAUAUACCAUGCUCAUUGGGAAACAAAGAGUCCAGUGCUAGGUAGCUUAAGAAAAUAUGCAAAACAGCUCUUGUUAAAAAGUUUGUCUAUGUUUUCAUUCUUCAUAAUUCUCCUUAAUUCAUCAAAACAUUUCCCCAACUGACAUUUAAGUACAAGAUCAUCAGUUACUUUGCCAGGGCUAUCCAUUGGCAUCGCAACUCAAAACCUGUCGAUACUAAUGGUUUUGACAGAAUCAUGCUGAGAUUUUGAUAUUAUUUCAUGCCCCAUUGGUGAGAAGGAGUUAUCACUUUCCUCGGCUUUAUUUUACCCCGACUGAGAUUGUUCAAAAAGUUUCUCCGAAUUUAUCUGUACUCUAGCCAUUUUUUUUGGGUGGUUAUAAGUUGAUCCACUUUUAGUUUCUUUUUUUUGGGAGACAUCUUUUAACUAAAAAAAAUAGAAAAACAAAAAAUACAUUGCAUUUGUUUUCUGCAUAAUUUAAAAAAAAAGGUAAGACGAAUUUUAAUAAAUUAUUCUACGCCAUAUUACAAAAAAAAAAUACUCCAAUGGAUAAUCAAUCAGUUGGAACAGAUGGGGAAUCUGUUUGAAGACCUAUUUAAUAUCUCCCAAUAGAUAUCCCACCUGUUGCGAUAGAUGGACCUCCAACACCACAACCAAUGCCACCACCAAUGCCACCAAUACCAAUACCAAUACUAAGCCACCAACACUACCACCAAAAAUACAAAUACCGACACCAAUAACAACACCCACCAUCAAUACCACAAACACCAUCCAACAAUACCAUAAUAGUUAAAAAAAACACUGAGACAAAAACUAGGGUUUUCUCAGGUGCUUCCUACUUUUUUAACGUCAAAACACAAAAUUGUUAACCCAUUCUCGAAGAAAAUACAACUAAAAGUAUUAUUUUUCAUCAUUAACUAAAAAUACCUAAUUUUUAGAAUAAAAAAAAUGUAGAACUCUUCUCAAACUCUGUUACCUAUGAAGACAGAGAAAAUGACAUAUACAAGCGAGAAUUGAGUCAAAAAUAACAACUAUGUGGUCAAAAAUGGGAAGAAAAUCAAUUUGUUUUGAAGGGUUGUGUAAUAUGUUGAGUAGUUGUUAUCUGUAUUGUUGAGAGAGAGAGGAAGGGGGAGCGAGAACUUGAGAUUUAAAAUGAGGAAUAGUUUUUCCCGCAAAUGGAUGAUUUCUAUGGGUUGAUUUAUAAUUUUGGAAAAGAAUGACAAGUUUUAAAAUUGUUAAUUUGGUUCGAAUUGAUCUUAAUUAAUUUUUAAAAUUUCAAAAGAUAUACUAGUUUUUAAAAAGUUAAUGAGAGUUUGUUUCAACUCAGAGUGAUCGAUCGAUGACCGGAGUCGGGAUGAACGCAAUACCAACACCAUGCAAUUGUGAUGACUCAAUUGAAGUUGUAGUUGACCCUAUGAGCUCAUUCAUUCAUCCCUAGUUCCACCUAAAUCAAUUUAGAUACUAUUAAUCCUAAGAUUAAGUUAAUGAUAUCCCAUUUCAACUCAGAGUGAUCGAUCGACGACCCGGGUUGGGAUGAAUGCAAUACCAACACCAAUUGCAAGGACUCAAUUGAAGUUGUAGUUGACCCUAUGAACUCAUUCAUUCAUCCCUAGUUCCACCUAAAUUAAUUUAAGUACUAUUAAUUUUAACAUUAAGUUAUUGAGAGCUCAUUUCAACUCUGAGUGAUCGAUCGAUGACCCGAGUUGGGAUGAAAGCAAUACCAACGUCAUACAAUUGCAAAGACUCAAUUGAAGUUGUUGUUGACCCUAUGAGCUUAUUCAUUCAUCCCUAGUUCCACCUAAAUCAAUUUAGGUAAUAUUAAUCCUAACAUUAAGUUAAUGAGAGAUCAUUUCAACUCAGAGUGAUCGAUCGACGAUCCGGGUUGGGAUGAACGCAAUACCAACACCAAUUUUAAAGACUCAAUUGAAGUUAUAGUUGACCCUAUGAAAUCAUUCAUUCAUCCCUAGUUUCACCUAAAUAAAUUUAGGUACCGUUAAUCUUAACAUUAAGUUAUUGAGAGCUUAUUUCCACUCAGAGUGAUCGAUCGACGAACCGGGUCGGGAUGAAUGCAAUACCAACACCAAUUGCAAAAACUUAAUUGAAGUUUUAGUUGGCCCUAUGAACUCAUUCAUUCAUCUCUAGUUCCACCUAAAUCAAUUUAGGUACUAUUAAUCUUAACAUUAAGUUAUUGAGAGCUCAUUUCAAAUCAGAGUGAUCGAUCGAUGACUCGGGUCGGGAUGAAUGCAAUACCAACACCAUACAAUUACAAUGACUCAAUUGAAGUUGUUGUUGACCCAAAAAAUUCAUUCAUUCAUCUCUAGUUCCACCUAAAUUAAUUGCAAUGAAAUCUGUUGGAACAAACGAUUGAGCUGGUGGAAAUUUUUAACAAAUAUUCACAUCUGUUGCAACAGAUGACAUAUCUUAUUUAAUUAUCAAAUAGAAAUUUGUAUCUGUUGUGACAGAUGACUGAACUAUUGAAAAUUUUCAAAUAGAUAUUGAUAUUUGUUGUAAUAGAUGAUAUAUCUGAUUUAAUUAUCAAAUGGACAUUUGCAUCUGUAGUCACAGAUGACUGAGUUGUUGGGAUAUUUAAAUAGAUAUUGAUAUCUAUUGUAACAGUUGACAUAUCUGAUUUAAUUAUCAAACAGCCUUAUCAAUUCGAACUCAUCAAACCUAACUGUACAAUGUAGGAUCUUGUUUGAAUGAUUAGUGCUUAAUCGGUUAAAAAUUGCAUUAACAAAAAUAUUGUACUUUGUGUGUGUUGUCUCGGUGGCCUUAUCAGUAAUACUUUUUAACUCCCACACAUAUGAUAGUGGAUCCAUCUGCAAGCACUUUAUUCUUCCUAGCCCAUCUAUGGCUUAAAUUGAAUAAAUAGAUGACUAGAAAGUUGCAACAGACGCCACAUCUGUUGGAAAAGCAAACUGAUAUAUCCAUCUGUUGCAACAGAUUGUCAAUAUAUUGUAAGUUAUCUGACAGAUGGAAUAUAUUUUACAAUAGAUUACCCAUCUGUUAGAUUUAUUUUAAAACAAUUUUCUUUUCUUUUUGAAAUACAAUAAAAAUAUAAAAUAUUUUAUUUAGAUCAUUUUUUUAAUUUACAUAUUUGAAAAGUCACCAGUUUUAUUUAAUUAAGGGAUAUGAACAUUCGUGGCUUUUUGUUUGACUAAGUCAUCCCUUCCAAUUCAAUCAUUUAUAAAUAGGUCCCUCCGGACUCCUUUUCUUACUCUCACUCGUUCAUUCUGUUACACUUACAAUACAAAUAUGGCUAAUCCAGAUUCGUACAAGAAUAUUCAUAUCAAGUCCUUGUGGGAACUUCAAAGGCAGUUUGAUGAACUCUAGAGGAAUUUUGCCGACUUCGGAGCAAGGCUGAGGAGGGUCUUGCUGUUGUCGGAUGAAAAUUGUCCGAUUGACAAUAAUAAUAGUAAUAAUAAUAAUAAUAAUAAUAGUAAUGAUAAUAAUAAUAGGAAUAAUAAUAAUAAUAAUAAUAGUAAUAAAAAUAAUAAUAAUAGUAAUGAUAAUAAUAAUAGUUGUAAUAAUAAUUAGGUUAUGUUUUUUUCUUUCUUUUAGCGUAUGUAUUUUCCUUUUUUAUAUCGGAUCUACCUAUAAGGGAUUCAAAAAUCUAUGUAUAUGUUUGGUUUGGUUUGGUCGACUUUAAAUUUUUAAUUCUUAUUUAAUAUUUAAUUAUCAUUCUAUUUAUUCCCUAUUCUCAACAUGUCGACGGUUGGAGGUAGGAUUGAGAACUUGUGGCAAGAGAGGGUGGUGAAAAGUGAUGAUUCUCUUAAAAAUGGUUCGUUAAUAAAUAAUAAGGAACUAAAUGAUAUACAUAAUUUAUAACUGUAAAAGAAAGAUUAUUUAAUUUAAAAAAAAAUAAUAAUAAUAGUAAUGAUAAUAAUAAUAGUUGUAAUAAUAAUUAGGUUAUGUUUUUUUCUUUCUUUUAGCGUAUGUAUUUUCCUUUUUUAUAUCGGAUCUACCUAUAAGGGAUUCAAAAAUCUAUGUAUAUGUUUGGUUUGGUUUGGUCGACUUUAAAUUUUUAAUUCUUAUUUAAUAUUUAAUUAUCAUUCUAUUUAUUCCCUAUUCUCAACAUGUCGACGGUUGGAGGUAGGAUUGAGAACUUGUGGCAAGAGAGGGUGGUGAAAAGUGAUGAUUCUCUUAAAAAUGGUUCGUUAAUAAAUAAUAAGGAACUAAAUGAUAUACAUAAUUUAUAACUGUAAAAGAAAGAUUAUUUAAUUUAAAAAAAGUCACAACAUUGGAUUAAUUAAGUUAUAUGAUGAUUGUUAAGAAAAAGGUGAAUAGUUCUGACUAUGACUUUUUGUCUAAACACAUUCAACAAACAAACAACGUUGCUGAUGCAUCAAAUUCCUCAUUUGUUGCGACUGAUGAAUCAGUUGUUAGAAGAAAUAAAAAAAGCUCCUAAAACAGAUAGUCAAUUUGUUGCAAUAGAUGGUAUAUUUGUUGUAACAGAUGAGUUAUCUGAUCCAACAGAUAUACAAUCUAUUGACAUAACUCAAUAAGAAAAUGGUUAUUAUUUUAUUAAAGAAACUGUUAUUGAAAACCAGGUGUCUUUAAUUUUUAAAUUAAGAAAAAGGUUAUUUAAAUUUAAGAACUAAUUAAUAAUAAUAAGCUGAAAAGUCAUUACUUGUCACAAUAAUAAAAAACUCACCAGCUUGAUUUAAGUAAGUCAUUUCUUUUCACAGAAAACAAUAAAGAAAUAAAUGAUAAACACAAUUUAAAUCGUAAAAAGCUCACCAAAAAUAUUUUUGUUUUUAAAUCCAUUUUAUUAAUUUAUAUAAUAAAAAAGUCAGCAAAUUUAGAUUAAUGAUAUGAUGAUAAUUUUUUUUAAAAAGAUAGAUUAUAUGUUGCAACAGAUAGAUUAUCUGAUGCAACAGGUUACCUAUUAUUGCAACGGAUGAUAUAUCUGUUAUCACAAAUAAGUUAUCUCAUGCAACAAAUAUAGAAUCUGUUGUCACAACUUCAAUAUAAAAACAGCUCCUAGAAAGAACUAAUUAUUAAUAAUAAUAAGCUGAAAAGUUAUGACUUAUCAUAAUAUUAUUUAAUUUAAUUAAGUCAUAACUUUUUACAGUAAUCAAGAAUGUCAUUAAUAAAUGGAGUUGAAUAGUUGCGCCUUUAAAUCUGUUUUAUUAAUUUAUAUAAUUAAAAAGUCAGAAAAUUUGGAUGUCAUGAUGAUAAUUUAUAAAAAAGAUAUAUAAAUUAUAUGUUGCAACAGAUAGAUUAUCUGAUGCAACAAGUUAUCUAUUUAUUGCAACAGAUGAUAUAUCUAUUGUCACAGAUGAGUUAUCUAUGCAACAGAUAUAUAAUCUGUUGUCACAACUCAAUAUAAAAAUGGUUUCUGAAAAGAACUAAUUAUUAAUAAUAAUAAGCUGAAAAGUCAUAACUUAUCACAAUAUUGCUUACUUUAAUUAAGUCAUAACUUUUCACAGUAAGCAAGAAAUGUCAUUAAUAAAUGGAGGUGAACAGUUGUGACUUUUUGCCUAAUAGAUUCAAGUCCAAUCCUCUAUAAAUAGGUCCCUCCUUACUCAAUCAUUCAUUCUACUACACUCUAUUUAUUUCUUGCUUUUGUUACACCUUCAAUUACUUUCUCUUCAAGGACUUAAUAGCUUUUUCCUGUCUCUGGUAAGUUUUUUUCUUGAUUUUUGUGUAAAUAUACAUUGUAUUACAUUCAAAUUCUUUCUUUUCUUUACUUUUAUUUUUACGCGUGUGUUUUGUCAACUUAUGCAUUUUCUAGAUAUGGUUGAUCCAGUGUGGGAUGUCUCUAUUUUAUAAGACGUCAUGCGGGAACUGCAGAAGGAGGUUUGUGACUUGCAGUGAGAGUUGGCCAACGUCAGACUAAGGAUGUUGCAGGAGAUCCGCAGGCUGAGG